rnacentral:rRNA from 1 species
GUAAAGCUCUUUCGCCAGGGAUGAUAAUGACAGUACCUGGUAAAGAAACCCCGGCUAACUCCGUGCCAGCAGCCGCGGUAAUACGGAGGGGGUUAGCGUUGUUCGGAAUUACUGGGCGUAAAGCGCGCGUAGGCGGAUCAGAAAGUUGGGGGUGAAAUCCCGGGGCUCAACCCCGGAACUGCCUCCAAAACUCCUGGUCUUGAGUUCGAGAGAGGUGAGUGGAAUUCCGAGUGUAGAGGUGAAAUUCGUAGAUAUUCGGAGGAACACCAGUGGCGAAG